rnacentral:rRNA from 1 species
ACGCUGGCGGCGUGCCUAAUACAUGCAAGUCGAACGGUCUUUCUAUGGAAGCUUGCUUCCACUGAGAAGAUAGUGGCGAACGGGUGAGUAACACGUGGGUAACCUGCCCAUAAGAGGGGGAUAACAUCCGGAAACGGGUGCUAAUACCGCAUAGUUUUCUUGAUCGCAUGAUCGGGAAAGGAAAGACGGCCUUUGUGCUGUCGCUUAUGGAUGGACCCGCGGCGUAUUAGUUAGUUGGUGAGGUAACGGCUCACCAAGACGAUGAUACGUAGCCGACCUGAGAGGGUGAUCGGCCACAUUGGGACUGAGACACGGCCCAAACUCCUACGGGAGGCAGCAGUAGGGAAUCUUCCGCAAUGGACGAAAGUCUGACGGAGCAACGCCGCGUGAGUGAAGAAAAGGUUUUCGGAUCGUAAAACUCUGUUGUCAGAGAAGAACAAGUUGGAGAGUAACUGCUCCAGCCUUGACGGUAUCUGACCAGAAAGCCACGGCUAACUACGUGCCAGCCGCUGC